CCAGCUUCACUAGGCUUACACUAUCUUUCUUUUUUAUUUACACUUAUUACCAAGUUUAUAUGAACUUGGAAUAUACAUAUUUAGUGAAUAGUGGUGAGAGUAUGAUGAUGAGAUUAUUCUCAAAGAGGUUAUUCUCAAAGAGGUUAUUCUCAAAGAAAUAGUUACAAACUUUCUAAGAGGUUAUUCUCAAAGAGAUUAUUCUCAAAGAGGUUAUUCUCAAAGAGGUUAUUCUCAAAUUCUUUACAAAACUUUCUAAGAGGUUAUUCUCAAAGAAAUAGUUACAAACUAUAGAAAGUGAAAAGAGAUGAUGAGAUUUCUCUUCUUAGCUUUGAGUGUUUCUUUUUGUAUGAGUAGUUGUUAUGUUGAAAGAUGAAGAGUUCUCUUCCUUUUAUAGAAGUUAUGAAGCUUCAUCUAUGAGGAAAAGUAUUAGAUGACCGUUGGAGACUUGAUGAAAUGUCCAUGGUCAUUAAUCUAAUUUACAAAAGUGUCAUUCAGUUGUCCUUGUAAUACAUGUGCUUAGGAGGAUCAGUUUGCAGUCCAUCCUCGGAUAUGAGGUUUGAUCUUUCCAUAAGUUAGGACAUGACUUGUACUUUUGACUUUUUUUUUUUCCAAGAGCUAUAGUGUCUUGUUUUUCUUGUCAAGGACAAUACUUUUUCGAACUAUGCUACUUUUGAAUAUUUCCUAUGUAUGAUGAUGAAUGGAACCAGAAGUUCAUCUUUUCAUUGUUUAUCCUCUAGCGUGAAUCCUCUUCUCAUGAAUUGUUUAUCCUUUUAC
rnacentral:lncRNA from 1 species